rnacentral:rRNA from 1 species
GAUGAACGCUAGCGAUAGGCUUAACACAUGCAAGUCGAGGGGUAACGUGUUGGAAGCUUGCUUCCGAUGACGACGACCGGCGGAUGGGUGCGUAACGCGUAUGCAACUUGCCUCACAGUGGAGAAUAACCCGGAGAAAUCCGGACUAAUGUUCCAUACACUCUUAAGUACUCCUGUACAUGAGAGGAAAGAUUUAUCGCUGUGAGAUAGGCAUGCGUCCUAUUAGGUAGUUGGUGAGGUAACGGCUCACCAAGCCGACGAUAGGUAGGGGUGCUGAGAGGCAGAUCCCCCACAUUGGGACUGAGACACGGCACAAACUCCUACGGGAGGCAGCAGUGAGGAAUAUUGGUCAAUGGAGGAAACUCUGAACCAGCCAAGUCGCGUGAAGGAAGAAUGUCCUAAGGAUUGUAAACUUCUUUAGCGAGCGAGUAAGGACUUCCACGUGAUGGGAGUUUGAAAGUAGCUCGAGAAUAAGUAUCGGCUAACUCCGUG